GCGUAUUUCUGUGUUAAUUUACUGGCCGAUUGUGGCUGUCGAGUAUCUCCGAAGCUACAGGGGAAAAAAAACGAUAAACUAACAAAAUCUCAAAAUUCAGUGUUUUCAUCUUUGCGAUUACACUGCUCUCCUGUUCUUUUUCAGCAAUGCGGUUUCCGUUUAUCUCACGUAGAACCUACUGCGCAGCUUUAUCUGCAUCAUCCUCCAAUUCCCAGAUUUCCCAUUUCGCUCGUAUCGGUCAAAUUAAUAGAGCUCGAAGAAUAUUUGAUAAGUUGCCUCACAAAACCGUUGUUUCUUGGAAUGCAAUUGUUGGUGGCUACUUCCAAAACAGGCAGCCCCGCGAGGCGCAGAAUUUGUUUGAUAAGAUGCCUGACAGAAACACGGUGUCUUGGAAUGGAUUGAUUUCUGGGUAUGUUAAAAAUGGUAUGAUUAUGGAUGCGAGAAAAGUGUUUGAUAAAAUGCCAGAAAGAAAUGUUGUUUCGUGGACAGCUAUGGUCAGGGGCUACGUGCAGGAGGGGAUGAUAAAAGAGGCAGAGUCACUCUUUUGGGAAAUGCCUGAGAAGAAUGUGGUUUCUUGGACUGUUAUGUUGGGUGGUUUGAUUGAAGAUGGACGUGUUGAUGAAGCCAGAAAGCUUUUUGAUAUGAUGCCAGUGAAGGAUGUUGUUGCUAGGACUAAUAUGAUUGGAGGGUUGUGCCUGGAGGGAAGAUUAAGUGAAGCAAGAGAAAUUUUUGAUGAGAUGCCAAAAAGGAAUGUCAUUGCUUGGACUGCUAUGAUUAGUGGUUAUUCCAUGAAUAACAAGUUAGAUGUGGCUAGGAAGUUGUUUGAAGUAAUGCCGGAUAAGAAUGAGGUGACAUGGACGGCAAUGUUGAUGGGAUAUACUCGGAGCGCUAGGAUUAAGGAAGCUGCUGAACUUUUCGAGGUAAUGCCAAUGAAGCCAGUUGCUGCUUGUAACGAGAUGAUCAUUGGAUUUGGACAGAAUGGGGAGGUAGGGAAAGCAAAGUGGGUAUUUGAUCAAAUGAGAGAGAAGGAUGAUGGGACAUGGAGUGCCAUGAUCAAGGUUUAUGAGAGAAAAGGAUUUGAAUUGGAAGCCCUCAAUUUGUUUAGUUUGAUGCAAAGGGAAGGAGUUAGGCCAAAUUUCCCAUCUACAAUAAGCAUUCUUUCCGUUUGUGGUAGCUUGGCAAGUCUUGAUCAUGGCAGACAGGUCCAUGCACAAUUGGUAAGAUCCCAGUUUGAUUCUGAUUUGUAUGUUUCCUCGGUUUUGAUUACAAUGUACAUUAAAUGUGGUGAUAUUGUAAAGGCAAAGAGGGUAUUUGAUACGUUUUCUACGAAGGAUACUAUCAUGUGGAAUUCAAUUAUUACGGGUUACGCACAGCAUGGUUUAGGAAAUGAAGCUAUUCAAGUUUUCCAUGACAUGCUCUCUACAGGCGUUGCACCAGAUGAAAUUACCUUUAUUGGAGUUCUGACAGCAUGUAGUUACAGUGGAAAGAUUAAAGAAGGGCUUGAUAUUUUUGAGUCAAUGAAAUCUAGAUAUCUAGUGGAUCCAAGAAUUGAGCAUUAUGCUUGCAUGGUUGAU
rnacentral:misc_RNA from 1 species